rnacentral:rRNA from 1 species
UCAUUCGAUUCGUUGUGGAUUGGAUGAUGGAAAAACCUGCAAGCAGCAAGCAUAGUUAGAAAAGUUGUCGUAGUGCGCCCUACGGAGUUGUAAAAAGUCAGCAACCAUUUUGGGGCGCAAGAAUAGGCAACACAAGACUGAUGACGGAGUGGGGCACGCAGUGAACUGGUUUUCUAAAAAGAAUGGAAGAUCCGGCCAAAGAAGGUGAUAGCCCUGUUCUUUCGUUCCCAUGGUUCGAUCCUUCCCAGUAAAACGCGGUGUGUUCGAAUGAUGGUCACUUUUACGCGAGAAAGGGGGACCACCCUCUAAGCCUAAGUAUUCCUCAAUGACCGAUAGCAU